AGACGCGGGCGCGGCUACCGGCUGUAGCUCGGGCUCCAACAUGCGCCGCUCGGUGUGCCUGGCGCUGGUCGCGUCGCUCAUGCACGUGUCUCUGCAAGGCGAGUUUCAGAGGAAGCUCUACAAGGACCUGGUCAAGAACUACAAUCCCUUGGAGAGGCCCGUGGCCAACGACUCGCAGCCGCUCACUGUCUACUUCUCCCUGAGUCUCCUGCAGAUCAUGGACGUGGUGAG